rnacentral:lncRNA from 1 species
UCCUAUUCUCCCCAAAGCCGCUCCAGCGCCUCCAUUCUCUCUGCUUGCUUCUCCUCCCACCUCCUUCCAUCUCAGCCCACUGGCCUGACUUCUUCUCUUUCCAUUGCUCAUUCUUUCUUUCUUUCUUCGACUAACCCAUUCCUCUCCUACUAUAGGUGACUACUCUCAGGACUUGUCUAUCUCUCGACAUCUUCCAACACACCUCGAUUCCUCCAUUAAAUGGCAUCGCCAUUUCUAGCCAUUCAGCUUUCCAUGCUUUCCGACGGUCUACGAACAAUCCUUCGAUACGUCUUAACCAAUCGACUGGACGGCAUUGUCGUCUUCAUGUAUAGGACUUGUCUAUCUCUCGACAUCUUCCAACACACCUCGAUUCCUCCAUCAAAUGGCAUCGCCAUUUCUAGCCAUUCAGAUUCAAUCACUUCGUCAAGUCCAAAAGCUUCAACACUCAUCACCCUACAUGGACACAUCUCUGACCUUACCUAUUCUAUUCGAAUUUCAAACGGACCUAUCCUUAUACCUAUCCUUCUCUCAUAUCCUAUCUUUACUCUGAGCGGCACCGGAUGACACUGGCGACGAACAAACGGCUACGAGGCAUUCGAGAACGACAGACUGGAGGCCGACAGGCCGAGCGAGCGAACGGACGAAACGAAACGAACAGCCACGAGGCAACCGAGACGAAUCGAUCCAUUAAAACCCCAAACGGCGAUGAACGGACGAUCGGAGUGGGAUGUCAACAUCCAGCAACCCCUAUAUCAAGCAGAUAUCUAACCCGGGGGGUGCCUGAUGCGGACAUCCCGCCGCUCCCAGAAUCAUUUAGGAUACACAACCGGGAGUGUUAGGUUUCUCUUAUACGAACAACGAACCGAACGAACGAGGCGGAUCGAUCGAACGGACG